GGAAUAUUGCGCAAUGGGGGCAACCCUGACGCAGCGACGCCGUGUGGGUGAGGAAGGCUUUCGGGUCGUAAAGCCCUGUCAGGUGGGAAGAAAUGGCUAUUAGUUAAUACCUUAUAGUCUUGACGGUACCACCAAAGGAAGCACCGGCUAACUCCGUGCCAGCAGCCGCGGUAAUACGGAGGGUGCAAGCGUUGUUCGGAAUUACUGGGCGUAAAGGGCGCGUAGGCGGCCUAUUAAGUCAGAUGUGAAAGCCCACGGCUCAACCGUGGAAGUGCAUUUGAAACUGGUAGGCUUGAGUAUCAGAGGGGAAAGUGGAAUUCCCGGUGUAGAGGUGAAAUUCGUAGAUAUCGGGAGGAAUACCGGUGGCGAAGGCGACUUUCUGGCUGAAUACUGACGCUGAGGCGCGAAAGCGUGGGGAGCAAACAGGAUUA
rnacentral:rRNA from 1 species